rnacentral:rRNA from 1 species
CCUACGGGAGGCUGCAGUGGGGAAUAUUGGACAAUGGGCGAAAGCCUGAUCCAGCCAUGCCGCGUAUGUGAAGAAGGCCUUCGGGUUGUAAAGCACUUUCAGUGGGGAAGAAAGCCUUGGGGCUAAUACCCUCGAGGAAGGACAUCACCCACAGAAGAAGCACCGGCUAACUCCGUGCCAGCAGCCGCGGUAAUACGGAGGGUGCGAGCGUUAAUCGGAAUUACUGGGCGUAAAGCGCGCGUAGGCGGUCUGAUAAGCCGGUUGUGAAAGCCCCGGGCUCAACCUGGGAACGGCAUCCGGAACUGUCAGGCUAGAGUGCAGGAGAGGAAGGUAGAAUUCCCGGUGUAGCGGUGAAAUGCGUAGAGAUCGGGAGGAAUACCAGUGGCGAAGGCGGCCUUCUGGACUGACACUGACGCUGAGGUGCGAAAGCGUGGGUAGCAAACAGGAUUAGAUACCCGAGUAGUC